UUUAAAUUAAAAUGAUUAUUAUAAUAAUAUCUUUUGAACGUCAUUAAAUAUUGGAAUAAAAUUCGGACGUUCAAAAUGUGCAUCACGGUAGCCAUAAAUUUGAACUGCAGGAAUAUGUGAUACAUUUUUUAAUACACAUUUUGCACACUUCAGCUUUGUUUCCAUCAAUUAAACCAAUAGUGCUAAAGUGAGUUUUUCGCUUUGUUUGUUGAAUGCAUGUUGUCUUAUUCGUGUCUCAAGGAGAACGCGCAUACAUAAAUUUUUCAUGGAGGACGUCUGUCAUAGGGAAUAUUCUUCUUCGAAGUGAAUAAAAAUGAAACCGAACGCACAUCUGGCGAGAGACACCAUUUUCGUGUUAUAAACAUAAAGUACUUGACCUGAUAAAAUCAUGCGCGCGAAAAUAGUGCAUAAUCCGAGAAGCGAGAAAAAAAUUUUAUAAUCCCAUUGAUGGGGAAGCCAGUCGUCGACACAAUUGCUGCAUCACAGCGUUACGUAAUCGCGAAUAAAUUAUCGUCGCAUGGUCGAGCCGCGUCAGUUCAUUGAAUGGAAGUAAUUCGAUUUUGCACGCACCCUUCGUGGCCGUGCUUCCUCGUCUAAGAUUAGAAUUCACGAGAUGAGGGUGGUCGCCUGGCGUAGUUAAUACAAGUGUUAAUAUGUGAGAAGGUAUGCAAAUGGGUCGAUCAUUGCCGCAUUAUCAGUCGUACAACGCGUAUUUCAAAAAUAUCUAUCUAUCAACUCUCCCCGAAAAUAACGUGAACAGUGCGUGGGCAAACGUCGCGAACGUCAACGUCUGAAGCAAUUUAAUUAAUCGACUGGGAAGCGAGAAUUAUCCUUGAUGUUACUCGAGCCAUUGGAAGAAAGCGGCGCGGCGGUCAUAUGUCUGGAGGACGUGUUCUAAUAAAAUUAGUAGAACCUGUUUUAACAGAAUUGACAGAGCACUGACGUAAUAUUGUUCACCAAAGAGGGUGUUUUCUCAAUCCUCGAUACCCUUGUAUCGCCACUCCCAGCUAUUCAUUCAACGUACUCCUCGAUAUCUUCAAGUAAUCAUACCCAAUGUACUUGCGACCGGCACACAAAUUACUGGCACGAUAACUUUGCUGCAGGAAUGCGACUCAGCUGUGUAAGCGCUGAAAAGAUAAAGUUACAAGUCCAAGCUGGAGAUCGAGUGUGCUCGAAAAUGCGUGCUGGGUGGAUGGAGCGUGUUUGGUGACGGUUAAGAGCGGAAUUCCAGUCAAUAGACAGUGUCAUUAAGUAAAACUCACGAAGGCCGAGCUCGACAAUUGGUUUACGAGCCGCACUGACAAGUCUCCCUCUGUCCAGAUUGUUCCAGAAAAGUUCCAUGAAUCUUUCUGCAGUUCUCGUGCCGAAAGCGCUUCGUGGCGAAUUUCAUUUUCUCUCCAGUUUGCACUAAAAAAAUGUUCUCAAACUUACGAUGGAACGUUCAACUUGUAAUCUACGUAAAAAUCGCUGUACACCAGAGUUAUCUCCUCGAGAAACCGCCGAGUAUUCUCAAAUUGAUAGACCAAACAGUGAAAUCCUCGUGCGAAAAUACACGCAAGUAUACAUGUUGCGCAAUAAACCGUACGCAUAUGCUGCCAUUGUAUCGAUACAUACGUUUUUUUAUAAAUAAAACAGAUGCAGAACGAGAAAACGUUGAUCAUGAAUUAAUUCAUGAUCCUAUCGUAAACAACGGCAAGCUACAUGAAGAAUUACUGAACUGUUUUGCAGAACCGCGGCUUGUAAAAGCAGAUCGGUGAUCCUGAGCUAAUUAGGGAAAAAAUACGUAGUCGGGUGUGAUGCAACGUUCUUUGCAUAAUCCCUGACCUGAUCAUAGCACCAACUAUUCUAACUUUUCUAACUACAGAAGCGAAAGCUUCUUCAAAAAUAAAACAAGAAGGUAUGUACAGACCAUAGCUUUGACACGAUAAUUUCCGUGACUGUCAAGAUUUCACGUGUCUCAUGGCCGUUGAUUUCGUCAUCGUUGUCAAUAAUUGCGUACACGUCGAAAUGCAAAUUUCGUAACAGCCGUGCCAGCGACCCUAUACUUAGAUCGUGAUCUCUUCAGCGCAGUCGGUCUUUGGAGGAAGCCAUUAACUUCCGCAGACAGAUGCGAGGCAAAGCUAUCCACUUAUGUAGAAUCAUCAUUUCCUCGGCGGGAUCACCCAGGUAUCAAUCGCUUACGAAGCCCGUCAACACUCCUGCACACUUGCUAGCAAGAGUAUUUCGUCAUGUUCACCUUGUACACGACGAUAUGGCAUAUCGGUCACAAGCCAAAAUUAUCAGAUGCAAUCUUGCGUCUAAACAAUUUAACUGCCUCCGGUAGUCAGAGUCACCGAUGUAAGAUACGGCGCAAACAGUGUUAGCAAUGUCAAUGUGGCUGUCAGGCGUUAGUAAGGCUGCGCGGGAGACCGUAAAAAUAUCUGGCACAUUUUCUCGUAGAAAUGUAUUGGCUCGUAAAGCUGGAGACCGUGCGAGGUCGUACGCGCGAGGUCGCGAUCUAUGUCUCGUCACUUCCGCGAUGUGACAAACCUCUAACGCUUUGAUUCUUUAAUGUAAAAUGCGCAUAUACAUGAGCUUGGUGAAGAGAAGACGUGACGUUCAUUUGGCUCUGACACUUGUUGAUAAGAAGAAUGAGAAUAAUAAUUCAUAGUUUUCUGAAUAGCCGAAGAUAAGGUGUUGUCAGCGACGGCAUUCAUAACGCGAUACGAACGUGAUUCUUUAACCGCGAUAUCAAGAUAGUGUUCGAAAUGUUUAUCGAUGGAUGGAAUAGAUGUAUACGUAUGUAUCAUGAUAUUUGAGUGUGCGAUCCCAAAAAGUGUAUAUAAUUGCGUGGGAGGUAUUCGCAAGACAGAGUGUUAUCGGAUGACUGAUAGAGAGAAACGCAUAACGAUAUGCCUUCGAUAUGCUUGACUUUAUUAUCGAUUGCAAUAGUUGCGAUGUACAGGUAUACAUGACAAACGCAUCACGUCGAAUAAAACCGGUGCAAGUGAUAUAAUUAACAAUGAAAAAAGGGGUGCCCGUACGGGCAUAAUUUAUUUACAAUAGAGAAAAGAGAAGCUCGUAACGUCGCAUAGGAAUACGUGGUUUGAUUCUCUCGACACGCGCUCUCGUAUUCGACGGUCGGUGACCUGUAACUCGCGUAUCAAGUCUAGCCACUUAUAUAACGUGCAAUUACCUAAUAAAGCUGUUAAAUGGCGCACAAAGUACGGCAUAAUUAGCGGUGCAAGAACACUCGGUAGUAACUUAGAUUACAGCUCGGUAAAUAAAAUCUUAACAGAGGUGCCUGAGGGGCCAUGGUCCUUAAUAAUAACGUGUUAAUUCCGCCCUUUGCCCCGUUGCUGUGCGUGUAAUACUCGAUAUUACUUUGUGUUUUUUAAAGAGAGAGAUUUACCUGUCUUCAAGGGGCUAUUGCUUCGCCUUCGAAUAAAUGAAUUCGCGCUGUUCGACGUUGCGCUUCUCCUUCGUGUACGAUGU
rnacentral:lncRNA from 1 species